rnacentral:rRNA from 1 species
GUCUGCAACUCGACUACAUGAAGCUGGAAUCGCUAGUAAUCGCGGAUCAGAAUGCCGCGGUGAAUACGUUCCCGGGUCUUGUACACACCGCCCGUCACACCAUGGGAGUCGGGAAUGCCCGAAGCCAGUGACCCAAGCGAGAGCAGGGAACUGUCGAAGGCAGGCCGGAUAACUGGGGUGAAGUCGUAACAAGGUAUC